rnacentral:rRNA from 1 species
GAGUUUGAUCAUGGCUCAGGAUGAACGCUGGCGGCGUGCUUAACACAUGCAAGUCGAACGAGAUCCAUGGAGCAGCAAUGCAACGGAAGAUCUAGUGGCGAACGGGUGAGUAACACGUGAGGAACCUACCCCGGUCUCAGGGAUAACAGGCGGAAACAUCUGCUAAUACCUGAUGUCGUCAGAGUGCCACAUGGUGUUUUGACGAAAGAUUUAUCGGUCCGGGAGGGCCUCGCGUCCUAUCAGCUUGUUGGUGGGGUAAUGGCCUACCAAGGCGUCGACGGGUAGCUGGUCUGAGAGGAUGAUCAGCCACACUGGGACUGAGACACGGCCCAGACUCCUACGGGAGGCAGCAGUGGGGAACCUUGCGCAAUGGGCGAAAGCCUGACGCAGCAACGCCGCGUGCGGGAAGAAGGCCUUCGGGUUGCAAACCGCUUUCAGUAGGAACGAAAAUGACGGUACCUGCAGAAGAAGGUGCGGCCAACUACGUGCCAGCAGCCGCGGUGACACGUAGGCACCAAGCGUUAUCCGGAUUUAUUGGGCGUAAAGAGCUCGUAGGCUGUUCAGUAAGUCGGGUGUGAAAACUCAGGGCUUAACCCUGAGCUGUCACUCGAUACU